GGACCCUUAGCUUAGUUGGUUAAAGCUCCCGGCUCAUAACCGGGCGAGCAUUGGUUCGAAUCCGAUAGGGUCCACCA
rnacentral:tRNA from 4 species